ncrna:unclassified sequences malK-I RNA
AUCAUCGCGCGAGUGCCACUCCACUACAUGGACUCGUGACGUCUAAAAAAGGAGGCAGUUCUACCGCGGACUUGCGGUGCGGCAGUGUGGAGACCUGUCGUAAUGCGGCUGCCAUGCAUACGGGGAGCCGCGAGUCGGGCAGUUGAUGAAGUUCGUGCCCGUCAAAGUCAAAUGGUAUGGCA